AGCCCGUGAGUGAGUACCACAUCAAAUUGCAAAUUUGAAGAAGUUCCUUUUGGUUCCGGGGCUU
rnacentral:tRNA from 1 species